UAUCUUUUCAAUAGGCCACAGAAGCAUGGACAAGAACUUGCACAGUGUAAAUAGUCUCGGGCGUGUUGUGAGGAGGACCGACAGUGUUCUGGGCCACCGUCACUCCUACAUGUGGACAUCAACGGCAAGUUGAUGAGAUCCUGAUCCUCCAAACGGCCAAAAACAAGGCAUCCAUGGCUCUGGGGUUCUUUCUUAAAGCUGCAAAGAAACCCGACUUUCCAUCCAGUGCAUGUUCAAACGUGAGUGGGGACAGUGGACCUGAGAUUGUGGAUGUUGGAGGCUGCGGUAAGGGAAGCUUCAGGGAGAAGUGUCCCCAGCCACAGAACAUCUUAAACCUGCCUCCAAUCCAAGAUGAUCUCGACACUGAGGGAUGGAACAACCCUUCACAGGACGCAGCUGUGGAAAAUGGGAAGACUC